AGAGCGAACGCUGGCGGCAGGCCUAACACAUGCAAGUCGAGCGCCCCGCAAGGGGAGCGGCAGACGGGAGAGUAACACGUGGGAACGUACCCUUCAGUUCGGAACAACCCAGGGAAACUUGGGCUAAUACCGGAUACGUCCGUAAGGAGAAAGAUUUAUCGCUGAAGGAUCGGCCCGCGUCUGAUUAGCUAGUUGGUGGGGUAACGGCCCACCAAGGCGACGAUCAGUAGCUGGUCUGAGAGGAUGAUCAGCCACAUUGGGACUGAGACACGGCCCAAACUCCUACGGGAGGCAGCAGUGGGGAAUAUUGGACAAUGGGCGCAAGCCUGAUCCAGCCAUGCCGCGUGAGUGAUGAAGGCCCUAGGGUUGUAAAGCUCUUUUGUGCGGGAAGAUAAUGACGGUACCGCAAGAAUAAGCCCGGCUAACUUCGCGCCAGCAGCCGC
rnacentral:rRNA from 1 species